AUUGAACGCUGGCGGCAGGCCUAACACAUGCAAGUCGAGCGAGUGGCGGACGGGUGAGUAAUGUAUGGGGAACUGCCCGAUAGAGGGGGAUAACUACUGGAAACGGUGGCUAAUACCGCAUACUAUCGGAUGAACCCAUAUGGGAUUAGCUAGUAGGUGGGGUAAAGGCUCACCUAGGCGACGAUCCCUAGCUGGUCUGAGAGGAUUACCAGCCACACUGGACCUGAGACACGGUCCAGACGCCUACGGGAGGCAGCAGUGGGGAAUAUUGCACAAUGGGCGCAAGCCUGAUGCAGCCAUGCCGCGUGUAUGAAGAAGGCCUUAGGGUUGUAAAGUACUUUCAGCGGGGAGGCGUUACCCGCAGAAGAAGCACCGGCUAACUCCGUGCCAGCAGCCGCGGUAAUAC
rnacentral:rRNA from 1 species